rnacentral:pre_miRNA from 11 species
AAAGUAGAAUGCAGCCAAAGAUGAAUUGCCUUUGUAUUGACCUACGGUCUAAUAGACCGACAGUUGUUUUUCAGGCAAUUCAUUCUUGGCUGCACAGCAACAUUUCU